AGGUUUAAAAAUCACUCUGCCAGGAAUUCCCCUGGCUGGCAGAAGAGGAGGGUCUGGGCUUGAGUCAUUCUGGCUGAGGUGGGGUCCUACAUUUCUACAUCUGUCCUUUCAUAUCAUACAGAAGGGCUCUGUGAGAACAGCAGACAGAUAGCAAACAGACAGGGGGGAAAAAAUAAGAAAAAAAGGGAGAGUUUGGCCUAAAAUGAAAGUUAGAGAGUUCAUUACUUGUAUCACCGGACCGAGUGCAGCACAUCAUUGUAUCAGGUGAGCUCCAGAGCAAAUUUACUUUAGAAAAGCCAUACUUUAUGGAGCUGGUUAUGUGAUGCAAACGUCAAAAUGUGUUAGUUUACAAAUCAUGCACUAUAGUAAAAGUGAAUUGUGGUUAUAACACAGCAUUGUGCAAAGAAUGUUCCUGUGGCUCAGUGGUAGAGCAUUGCAUUAGCAGCCCAAAAUGUCAUGGGUUCAAUUACCAGGGAACACACAUAACUGGUAAAACAAUGUAUAACCUGAAUGCAUUGUAAGUCGCUUUGGAUAAAAGUGUCUGCUAAAUGUAAAGAAAUGUGUGAAAGUAAGUCCUUAUUAAUCAAUAUUCAACCUGUAAUCAUACUUUGCGUGAAAAGAAAUACAAGUUGUAGGUGUUUUACUGCAAAUAGUGUUAAUUUCAGCACUAAACUGCAGUGAAUAACAUGUAUUUUGGAGUUUUGCAAAAAUGUUGCUAGAAGAAUGUUUUCACAAUGGGCCUAUGUUGACUUUAACGGUGCUUUUUGUUUCUUUUUGGAGCUUAAGAGGCAGCAUAUACAUCUUCUUUUGGGUUCCACUGAAGAAAGAAACGUAAACUUGCCUGCACUUGUCUGUUUAACAUGCAAAAUGUGUGUGUGUGUGUGUGUGUGUCACCUCAUUUUUUGUCAUGUAGUCCGUGGUCACUGCAGCUGGCCCCUCCUUCUUCUAGUGUCUGAGAGACUGGGCUUCCUGUAGACUUAUAAAAAUAGCUUUUCAGUGACAGUUGGAAAUGAGGUCAGAAAGACGUGCAGUCCCUGCUGAGUGACCGUAAAAAAACAUUACACAUGUUGCUCUGUUCAAAACCCUGUGUCUCAUCUGGAGUAAAAUUUAAAGAGUGACAAAAAACAGACAAAACCUGUGAAGGAUCUAGUGAUUUCUUUAAGACAAAGUCCCAGAGGACCAGACUUGUUUCACAGUUGUAAGAGUUUAGACCUAUAAAAUCAAUGUAGAUGGCAUUAAGUUCAAUGGAUUAUACAAAUAUUGGCACAAUUUGAGACAUUACCGAGAUCUGUUCUAGAAGAGACACAUCUUUGGGAACUACAGUCUUUCUUAAGAGAAUCAGUCUCCGUUUGCUCUUCAUUUCACCUCUAUUACAGCAAUCUUUCCUACAGCUACUCAUCAGUUUGGAGUUUUUAAAGCAGAAACAUAUUUUCCAGUUGUAACAUGUCACUUUGCAUUCUCUUCAAACUAAUCUUUUCCCUCUAAACAUGUAUGAAGGAACAUUUACAGCAUCAUAACCAGUCGACAGAAUCGUUCCAGUUCCUCACAGCGUCUCGCAAUUGUCAAUACAACUGUCAGCACUGGAAAAAAAAGGACAUGAAUCUGUCCAGACGCAGGGGAACUCCUAGCUUACGUAAACCAAGAGCAUUAUGUUUAUUGCUUUACAUAAAAUAUCCCGGAUGAUGCUGCGAGUAAACCUGCCAGCUCUAAACAAAGACCUCCAUUACUUAUAGAGCACUGACUAUUUGCGGUGGUGUAUUUUUUUCAGGUUUUUUCCCCACUAACUGCGCACGAUAAGACUUUGCAGUUGAGUGUUACAGAGAGACAGUCAUUUAGAUGCUGAUCAGAGGAUACGGCCUGUCGGUUUUACACACACACAGGCCCCAAAAAACUGUUAGGACAGUAAAGCCGCAGUUAAAAAUGCCUGAAUUUCAUUUGAUAACAAGAUAUCAAAGCAAGUGCUUGUAACCUGCAUUUUAAGGAUAUUUUCUCUUUGCUAUCUUCACUUUUUUCAUCAUUUUUGCUCAGUGUUGUCCUCAUAUUCACACAGGUUUACUAUAAGAGUAACAUCAGGUGUAAUUCAUCACAUUAACUACGGCCUUCACAACCAAAAUGUUUACUUCAUCAGUAAUUCUAACGAAUAUCUGUUGUUUUAUCAUGUAAAGCCUAAGAAAACAUUUAUUUUGUGAAAUGCUUUGAUUGAAAAGUGUCCUUGUUUUAAUAAAUGACACUUGGUUUGAUGUGUAAGGGAAAGACAUUCUGACUUUUUUUGAUCUCACAUCUACACCCAAAUCAGGAUUGAACUCAAAUGUCAAGUUACCGAAAGCUGCAGAAGAGUUUAAAUGCAUGAUAUUUUCCUCUUAGAAAAAUCAUUAUGCGUUUUCCACACACAAAAAUGCGCCUUUCCAAGUUAGACUGCAUCUGAAAUGAUGCAUUAAGACCGAAUAUUGCUUUUGAAGGGCAUCUGGACCAUCUGAAGCACUGUGAUGUGUUUUCCCGAUUUUCAAAUGCUUGAAAUCAUCCACCCAAUCUAGACUUGAUGAAGUGAUGCCUCACAAACGGGAAGAUCUCUGUCCAUUAAUAUUUUCCAUCAGAUCUUUCCUUUCAGCUUUUUCCCCCCUAAAUUGAAGCCACAGUUGUUCUUUUUGCCAGUGAUCUCAGUCUUUCCUCUCACUAAAGAUGCGGUUACACCUCACAGAGGAAAAGAGCAGGAAAUACUUCUUACAGUUGUCCUCAUGAUGAGAAGUCACACUUUCAUCCUGCAGUGAUGCAGCUAAUUUUAGGGAUUGAAGAAAAAAUACCCAUAAUAUCCCAUUGGCUCUGCUGCUUGCCAGAUCCGUACAGUUGCCAUCAAAUUAGAGUUUUGGUUUAGCCGCUGUAGGUAAUCUGAUACCGGACCUUUUUAAAAAGUGGACAUAGGAUUGGAUGCACCAGUUUAGGCCCACACAGCAUCAUUAUACAUAUUCAUUAGGCAGAUGCAAAAUGACUUACAAAUGAAAAUAUAGAAUUAAACACAGGUUAAAUAUAUAUAAAAAAGUCUAAUUGUGUUGACUGAAACACCAGCAAUAUAUAUAUAUAUAUAUAAAAAAAAACUAAUUUUUUUAAAUUUAAAUUUUAUAUAAUUUUAUGUAUAUUUAUAGAACAGUAUAAUAUUAAUAUCUAAAUGCAAUAUUGUAUACAUAUCUAAAUAUUUAUACAUUAAAUGAGAA
ensembl:lncRNA